UACGAAGGGGGCUAGCGUUGUUCGGAAUUACUGGGCGUAAAGCGCGCGCAGGCGGUCUUCCAAGUCAGUGGUGAAAGCCCGGAGCUCAACUCCGGAAUUGCCAUUGAAACUGUUAGACUUGAGGAUGAGAGAGGUGAGUGGAAUUCCCAGUGUAGAGGUGAAAUUCGUAGAUAUUGGGAAGAACACCGGUGGCGAAGGCGGCUCACUGGCUCAUUUUUCUGACGCUCAGGCGCGACAGCGUGGGAUCAACAGG
rnacentral:rRNA from 1 species